AUGGCUUUCACUGCUGGGCAAAAUCAAGCGAUGGAAGGCCUUGUGGUUGUCGUUCCCAUGGCUGUGCCGUUCACUUUUAUGCAGGGUUUAAAGUUUGAUGUAGGAUGGGCACACAAGUUUGAUGUUUGCAGUUACAGAUUUUUGUCAAAGCCCGCUGAAACGAAGUUUAGUUCAGCAAACCAUGUAUGUUGGAAGAAAGCAAAUUUCUUGCCUUCUGAAUCCUCCGUAGCCACCAUAUUUUAUUUCAGACCGAAUUGUCCCAGCUCAGUGUAUCUCAGUGAAGUAGCGGGUUCAUGCAAGGCCUGGCCGACGGCAACGACUUUAGGGGCUGCCGUGCUCUGCAUACUUCGUCUAGGGCUCCGUUGGAGGAUCAGCUUUGGUUCAGACUUCAGAGGCAGGUUUUGGGCAUACCGCAGCACAAGCAGAGGCAGAUCUCAGUCAAUGCUACUGCAGUUGAUGAUGCCCUGA
rnacentral:rRNA from 1 species